rnacentral:rRNA from 2 species
GAACGCUGGCGGCAGGCUUAACACAUGCAAGUCGAGCGCCCCGCAAGGGGAGCGGCAGACGGGUGAGUAACGGGCGUGGGAAUCUACCUUUUGCUACGGAAUAACGCAGGGAAACUUGUGCUAAUACCGUAUGUGUCCUUCGGGAGAAAGAUUUAUCGGCAAGAGAUGAGCCCGCGUUGGAUUAGCUAGUUGGUGGGGUAAAGGCCUACCAAGGCGACGAUCCAUAGCUGGUCUGAGAGGAUGAUCAGCCACAUUGGGACUGAGACACGGCCCAAACUCCUACGGGAGGCAGCAGUGGGGAAUAUUGGACAAUGGGCGCAAGCCUGAUCCAGCCAUGCCGCGUGAGUGAUGAAGGCCCUAGGGUUGUAAAGCUCUUUCACCGGAGAAGAUAAUGACGGUAUCCGGAGAAGAAGCCCCGGCUAACUUCGUGCCAGCCGCCGCGGUAA